rnacentral:rRNA from 1 species
GACGAACGCUGGCGGCGUGCUUAACACAUGCAAGUCGAACGGAAAGGCCCUGCUUUCUUGGGGUGCUCGAGUGGCGAACGGGUGAGUAACACGUGAGUAACCUGCCCUACACUUUGGGAUAACUUCAGGAAACUGGGGUUAAUACAGGACAGCAGCCGCUGUUCCAUGGUGGGCGUUGGAAAGUCUCGGCGGUAGGGGAUGGAUGCGCGGCUUAUGAGCUUGUUGGUGGGGGAGUGGUUUACCAAGGCAUUGACGGGUCGCCCGCCUGGGAGGGUGACCGGCGUCCAUAGGACUGAGGUACGGAGCAGAGUCCAACGGGAGGCAGCAGUGGGGAAUAUUGUCCAGUGAGAGGAAGCCUGAUGAAGCAACGCCGCGGGCGGGAUGACGGUCUUCGGGUUGUGAACCGCUUUCGGCUGUGACGACGCGUGAGUGACGGUAAUGAGUAAAGAAGCACCGGCUAACUACGUG